UUGCCCUGUGUCUCUUGCAUGGUAACAAGCCAGCCUCAACUGCUUGAGCUAAGAGCAAGCUCAGUGUUUCCUUCAAGCAGCAUCGUGGACAGAUUCCUGCCAGACCCUUCAGAGCAAGCACCCCACACCCCUAGCCCAGGGUCUCUUCAUCGAUAGGGGGUGAUCUGUCUGCCCCUCACUGUUUUCUCCAAAUAGAUUGUUUCUAACACUGCGCAUGCCUUUCGGAGACAAAUUUUAAAAAUAAACAUUAUUUUUAAAAGGAAACAAACAAACAAAACCAAACAGAAGGGAGGCUGGGUUUCUUGGGGAUUUCGGGAGUGCCUGUGUCUCCACGACCUGGGCAGUGCUCUUCUGAGAGGACUGAGGGCUGGGGAGGCAGAGAGAGCAACGACAGGCUACCAGCAUUGAGAAAGAAGGCCUCAAGGCCACAUUGAGAAGGACACUACGCUCUGGAUCACAGGCUGAGCCCUGCAUUCUUGACAUUGGAGCCCUUCGGGAGUGCCAGAACGAGCAGUCCCUCUCCUGGAGGAGCCUGCCUUCCCACCACGGAGGCUAACACCACAACAGCCACAGUGAGCCACCCCUUCUGCCCAUCUUCUUACGUGUCAAGCACUGUGUUCAGUGCCUUCACAGGUAACUUCGAUAAGUCACGAUGGGCAUGCUGCGACUAAGUUGGUACUGAUAUUCUAUUGGUUUUAAAUGGGGAAACUGAGGCUCAGGAAGGUUCAGUAUUUUGCUGGAGGUCACACAGCCAGGCAAGGGCAGAGCCAAGAUUUCAGUUUCAAUCUGUCUGGCUUGGAAGACUUCCUUAUCUUGUGGCAGCAUCUCCAGAGAUCAUGGGUCAGCCUCUUCUUGCCAGAGGCGUGUGUGUGUGCACAGACACAUACACGCUGAGUGACAGAGGGACAAAAACAGUGAGCACCCACCCAGGCACUGUGCUCGAAAUUCUUCCUGCAAACCUGCAAGAUCAAAACCUAAAAAGGUGGGAAUGAAAGAAGCUCCUAACCCUCCUGGCUUUUUUCCCAAAGCCAGGAGGCAGCUCCUGAAUGGUGGAUUUUGGACUACUGGUGAGGCUGUCAGCAAAGGGCCUGGCCCAGAGAGAUGCUCAAGAGUAGGAUGAAAAGACCGUGGGCUUCUUCCUCUGCAAAAGGAAAGGUUUGGGACUGAUGGAUGCUGAAAAGUCUAGAUCUUCAUAAUCCUCAACAGCUUCACUGCCACUGCACACACAAAAUGAGUGUGCCCUAUAUUUCCAGCCCUCUGAUGAAUACGAAAAGAGCCUGAAGAACUCAUCUUCCUGGUCGCAAAGUACUUUAAAAUAUAUAAUCCCUCAAUCUUAAACAUACACAUUUUAUUGCUUUUUAUUAUACAAUAAUACAUAUUUACUAUUGAAAAUACAGAUAAGAAAAAAGAAAAUGGUUCAUAAUAAUACUACCCAGGUUUAAAAAAUACUAUUCAGCCUUAUGUUGAAGAAUCUGACUCUUUUCCUAUGCAAGCAUGUAUUUCAAGCAAAACUGGACACUUCAUGUGUACCUUGUUUUGUGAUCUUUUUUUCCCAAAUUAAUAUAUAAUCAAUAUCUUUUUGUAUCAAUCUUCAAUCCUUUCUUCUGUCACUUAUUUUUAAUGGUUAACAGUCAUCUACUAUAUAGAUAUUCUGUAAUUUAUUAAAGUGAUCCCUCAU
rnacentral:lncRNA from 10 species